rnacentral:rRNA from 1 species
ACGAGAGGUGCAAGCGUUGUUCGGAAUUAUUGGGCGUAAAGCGCACGUAGGCGGGUUCGUAUGUCGAUUGUGAAAGCCCCGGGCUCAACCUGGGAAUUGCAGUCGAAACUGCGAAUCUUGAAUACCUGAGAGGGUGGGAGAAUUCCUGGUGGAGUAGUGAAAUACGUAGAGAUCAGGAGGAAUACCGGAGGCGAAGGCGCCUGCCUGGCAGUGUAUUGACGCUGAGGUGCGAAAGCGUGGGGAGCAAACAGGA